CAUGGGAGUGAUCUCUUUAAGCCACAAAGUCAAGAAAGGCUUCCCAGUAGAGGAGAUGGCCCUUGAGUGGGGCUUUGGGCUAAGGUGGAAAGAACAUUGUCUUUGGGGGCUGAGUUCCUGAAUUUCAAUACCACCUCUGUUACUUACUCUUUAUGUAAACUUAGGAUCUGUCACAGGACUUGAAUGAAAUCUUUCUGGUGCCCCAGGCCAGUCUUCUUUGUUUUGGAGGCAAAUAAGUGACAUGCCCAGGAUCCAUCAGCUGUUUAUGGGGGCUCAGCCCAAGAUCUGUGGCUUCCCAGAGAGAUGGCUGGAAUCUCGAUUCCAGGCAGGCGCCAGGUUGGGUUUUCUCUGACUAACCUUGUGAUCAAAUUCUCAGCCUCCCUCUCGGCAGGCACACAAGUCUUCAAAAAGGAAGCCCAGGGUCCACACACUCUGCCUCCUGGGCCGAGGCAAAUGGCGCCCAUACGUGGGGCCCGGAAGAUUUUGGAGAAAGGAGUAGCAUUGCUAGAUCGAACCUCUCAAUAAGAAGACUAGGCAGUCCCGGAGAAUUUAGAGAAUAAGGUCGCCACGGGUCCACCUGCCCCGAGGAACAGAGACCUGGUUGUGGUAUUGGCUUGCUUUUGGAACCUUGAUCAGCUUUGGCAUACCCAGUCUGCAUAGAAUGAGAGCCUCCUAUCACUUCACAGCCUGAAGCAGUAGUUUUUAAAAUGAGACCAUGGACUGGACCCUGCAUCUACUGUACUUUGGACUGAUGAGGGACUUUGGGAAUGUUUGAUGACUGACUGUUGAAUCUUUCCUGGAUCACUCUGUGUUUAAGAUUUGGGAUGGGAUUUGUUAAAACUGUAAUUAUUGCUGUUAUGUUUGAGGGAUUUUUAGGAAAUGCCACUGUACUAGUCUGUUAUGUAUAGGGAUUUUAAUUCACUCUUGGGAUUUAUAUGGGGAAUAGUCAUUUGAUAAUUCCUUACCAUGAGGAAAAAGGGAGGAAGGGAUAGAGUAUUUGGAAAGAUUUGGUAGAUUUUUUUCAAAAUACCUGAAAUAGUGGGAACCCCUAUUCAAUUUGCCUUAGUUCAGAUUGAAUUUGAAUGCUUUAGCUUAGAAUCCCUUAGCUUUAGAAUCCCUUAUUUUUGUUAAAAUUGCCCUGGCAGACUCAGUUUUUUUAAGCUUUAGAAUUCAUUAAUUAGUACUUCAGAAGCUCAAAGGGCCUUUACACUAUCACCGCCUUGAGACUGGUGAUGAUCCCCUUGAUGCUCAUAUGAGCAAUAAGAAAUUUUCGACCUGGUUAGUCAAUGGCAGGUAAGAUUACUCAAGGACUAGCCGACCUAAGCCAGGAAGAGACGUUUCUGCACAUCCUUCCUAUGACGGGUAAGGCUUUUCCCCAUAGGAACAACCUAAGCCAGGCACAGGUCGAGAAAUGAAAAAAUUCUACAUUUGAUUCUUUUAAUAUAAAUGAAAACCUGUGGGUUAAAUGAGACCUGUGGGUAGCCGGCACUAAUCUACAGCCACAUACUCUGCCUCGGUGGCUGAGGCAAUAUAGUAUUGUUGUAUAUAAUGAUCUCCUGGUCCUGCUCAUUUCACUCGGCAUCAGUUCGUGUAAGUCUCUCCAGGCCUUUCUGAAAUCAUCCUGUUGGUCAUUUCUUACAGAACAAUAAUAUUCCAUAAUAUUCAUAUACCACAAUAUUCAGCCAUUCUCCAUCCAUUCAGUUUCCAAUUUCUAGCCACUACAAAGAGGGCUGCCACAAACAUUCUUGCAAAUUACUCUCCAGAAUGGUUGGAUUCGUUCACAACUCCACCAACAAUGCAUCAAUGUCCCAGUUUUCCCGCAUCCCCUCCAACAAUCAUUAUUUUUUCCUGUCAUCUUAGCCAAUCUGACAGGUAUGUAGUGGUAUCUUAGAGUUGUCUUAAUUUGCAUUUCUCUGAUUAAUAAUGAUUUGGAGCAUCUUUUCAUAUGACUAGAAAUAGUUUCAAUUUCUUCAUCUGAGAAUUGUCUGUUAAUAUCCUUUGACCAUUUUUCAAUUGGAGAAUGGUGGACUAACUGCUGAUACUCACCUACCUCUUAAUUGAACAGGGAUUUGCUAUACUGGACUAUUAAGGCCAAAAUUUUUCUUUCUUCCUGAAUAGGCAAACCAAUAUUUAGGGAUUCAGUUGUAUGAUGAUUUUGGGAAGAGAGAAAUGGGGUUUAGAUACCUCUAUUACUCAGACUGGAGAUGUAAAUGGUGGGGUGAUGCCUGGCCUCCAACCACCUGGGCUCAAGAUGGAAGUUGGGGAUAUAGAACCCUAAUAUUUAUGUUGAACAGAAUAAUUAAGCUUCAAGCAGUUGUAGAGAUUAUGGCUGAGGCACUAGAUCUUUUGGCUGACCAAGCUAUUCAAAUCAGAGAGAGUUCUGCUGGAUUAUUUGUUGGUCAAGUAAGGGGGAGUUUGUGUGAAACUAAAUGUGUAUAUUUGUUGUAUAAAGAUUGAUGACGAUGGAAAUCUAGUAAAAGAAGUCACUAAGAACAUUAGGAAACUUGCUCAUGUUCCUGUAUGGACCUGUACCUCACUGUUAAAUAUUUCCUGGUGGUCCUGGCUUGGGGAAAGCUAGUGGGAGCAGCUCCUUUGGUUUGACCUUAUAGCUCUUAGUAGUGUCCCUAUAGUAGUCCCUAUCUGCAUACCUUGUUUGAUCCGACUGAUAACCAGAAUAGUCCAAAACUCUUUAUCUAGAAUGAUUAGGUUGGAAGAGAAAGCUGAAGGGUCUGUUAGAUUGAUGGUGUUAAAAGGAUGGGAGCCAAUGGUCCAAGAGGACCAAAUAGGAGCCAGAGGAGGAUGAGGGAUUAGAUAGGGAAUGUGAAGUUAGGCUACCAGAAUUUGAAGAGAUCUCAGUGUACAAAUAAGAGGGGGGACUGAAAGAGAUGAGGUGAGAUCUUUCAAGACAGUUGUGAAAAUAGAGUAAGGCUUCAUCUAUUUCAAAGUUUGAGUAGGCCUGAAGGACUUUAAGCAUCAAGUCAAGGGCAUACUUGUCCCCUCCCUGCUACCUCCUAAGGGCAUACUUAAGUCCCCUUGUUAUCCUCCUAUGACAUCAGUGGUCAAGUUCAAUUUCUUGGGUAGUUCCCGAGUUUAGAAUGUAAGAUCCUCAGCCAAUGAGGAUGAGGGUCAGUGGUGGGAGGGGGUAUUUGCGUUAGAGAUAAAAAAUGUUGACCUUUCCCCCUAAGGUGCUUCCUCCUUUGGAUUGUCUGCUCGAUGGGUGGGACGUCUGAUUCUCAGGAGAUUGUAUAAUAAACUUUGCUUUGCUUCUAGAUAUCUCUCCAGCUUUUUUUAAUUAAAUGCUCUCUGAACCACAGGACUUAAAUGAAAUCUGAUGCCCCAGGCCAGUCUUGUUUUGGAAGCAAAUGGGGUUAAGUGAUAUGCCCAGGGUCCACACAGCUAUAAACUUUCCUAACUCUCCUGGCUGCCCCAUCCAAUACCAGCUGUCUACUCACUCCCCCUGCAAUGCCUUUCUUCCUUCUCUGUGGACAACUCGGGACUGGACAGGAGAAAUGUCUCCUUCCAUAUAGCCCCUUUCUGCUUCCCUCCUUAGGAAUUAAUAGGAACUAGCCCUGAAAAGGCCAUUGGAGAGAAUCAAGCUCCCACCAUGAUGGCUGGGUCCAGAGCUGAGCAGGAGCUGGAGCUGCCCUGGGCAGUUGCUGUGACCUCUUUCACCUCCUCCUGGAAGUCCCAAGCAGUCAUUAUGAAAGAGCUAGAUUCCUUCUGAUUUGCCCAGCAGCUGUGAAUUAGAAUGAUGUACACUGCCAAGAAAUGUGGAAUUAGAUUCCAACCUCCAGCCAUUAUCUUGAUCUAUCAAGGAGAGGCCCAGGACAAAAUUGCUAGCAAAACCCAUUAAUCUGAAACUUCUCCAAGUUUUCAGACUGCAGUAGAAAGGCUGAACACCUAAAGUAAAUCAAGAAACAAG
ensembl:lncRNA